rnacentral:rRNA from 1 species
GACGAACGCUGGCGGCGUGCCUAAUACAUGCAAGUCGAACGCAGUGGCGAACGGGUGAGUAACGCGUAGGUAACUGCCUCAUAGCGGGGGAUAACUAUUGGAAACGAUAGCUAAUACCGCAUACUUUGAGAUGGACCUGCGUUGUAUUAGCUAGUUUGUUAGGUUAAGGCUCACCAAGGCGACGAUACAUAGCCGAACUGGGAGGGGGGAACGCCCCAAUUGGACUGAGACACCGCCCAGGAUCCUACGGGAGGGAACCAUAGGGGAAUCUCGGGAAUGGACGGAAGGCCGAACGAGCAAAGGCGGCGGAGUGAAGAAGGGUUUCGGAUCGUAAAGCUCUGUUGUUAGGGAAGCGGUACCUAACCAGAAAGCGACGGCUAACUACGUGCCAGCAGCCGCGGUAAUAC